CGGAGGAAGGAGUUGAGGAAUGGGAGAGAAAGAUGCCAGCCACACCUAUUCCAGGCCAUCUUGGUGAGAACAACACACGCACACACACACACACACACACACACACACACACACACACACACACACACACACACACACACACACACACACACACAAACUGUCAAGUUAUAUUGCUGUUUAAUGUUUUGUAAAAUGAUACACGCUUGUUAUCUAACAUUUUUUUCUGCACUGUGCCAUCAGGUUCCCAAGUUGUCGAAGUCCCUGUGGUCAAAGGUUUUAUUCUUACUACAGUACUACUGAUUGUCCGGACAUGAAUUCGGAUCAUCUGUUCUACGUUUAUUUGUUGGUUAAGCCACGUUCUGGCCUGUUUGUUACGCCAUGUUCCGGCCUCUUCUAAUGCCUGUGUUCAAUUGUUCCAUUAACACUGAAGGCAUUAAUAUCUCGUCAUUGAGGGUAAGUACAGUUCUUGAUUUGCAUGUUUUUGUUCUUGUUUUUGUAUCCAUUAAGGGUUUAGUAUAGCAAUGUACAAAAAAAGAAGCACAUCAAGAUUGCAGAUAUGAUAAAUUCAGUUGAAAUUACAUCACAUGUCCUACAUGAAGAUGAGGAUUACCCGUGUAGUGAAAACACAACCAAAAUACCACACCCCUAAUGUCAUAGAGUGUCCUACCAGUGUUCUACCAGUUUGCAUGCAGUACUAGUGUUGCUAACACAUGUAAAUGAAAUGGGGUAUUCAUACAUGUCAUGUACACAUGUCCUUGACAGUACCUCCGGAGUUGCUUGCCUUGGGGUUGCCUUCAAGCAAGAACACAACAUCAGCGCCAAACACCGUGUUGUGUCAAUGUAAAUGUUUACAAUACAAUAUAAUGUUGUAUAAUUCACAGCUGAUUUUACACAUUACCUAAGCAGAAUGUGGAUAAUGCUCUUUUUUGUUUUCAAUCUAUCCUAUUUCAUCCAACAGCUUUACUCCCUGUGAGGUCAAUGUGUUCCACACCUGCUCGUUCCACAGCACCUGCUGUUGCCACAGCAUCCUCUGCCCUGUCUAGAGUACCUGCUCUGUCGGCGUCGUCAAGGUCGUCUACAGCACCCUCAACAUCAUAUCCACCUCCUGCAGCACCCUCGGCACCAUGUUCACCUGAUCCACCACUCCCAAGGUACGACCAGGAUGUGAUCCGUUGGAACUGCUUUCACCAUCAGAGAAUAUGGAUGAAGACCGAGAUGGAGGCCUUGGGGCUUUGGCCAGGUUCUCGACCGGUGAGACAUCCAAUGAACAUGAUCUCCUUGUGGCGUUACCCACCUCAGCCUGAACUAAUUGACAGUGUUUACAAACUACCAUCGCCCAACUACUUCCAGCUCCAUCCAUUUUUUAUAUGGAAGCCAGAUCACACCAUAAUGGAGCGAGUCAAGAACAAUUACACUCUGCCCUGUCUCUAUGGCUGUGGAAGUCCUUUCAUUGUGUCAUCAGGGGUUGGGCGACCCCGUGUAAUUAUUGGCUUGAGUGGCCAGUAUUAUAUCCUGGCGUCACGGCUCUGUUGCAAAGGAUGCAACAAGUUCUGGCACGCAGACAAGCCGCAAUGGUUGGACAUGUUGCCGAGCCGAUUCACCAAGAUCUUACCAGCUUUCCUUACCUUCAAAAAGGCAAUUUGUAAGACUUUGAUGGAUGAGCUGCGGCGCUAUGGAAAGUCUCCAAAUGACAUGGCCAACCAGUUAAAUGAGGCUCUCCACCUGAAAUAUGAGCGGGCACACUUGGCAUACCUGGAAAGUGUGAAGAACGUGCUGGAUGGAGAGAGUGGACUGUAUGGACAGCGAACCAUCACAGGGGCAUUGAGAGCAACAUCAACUCCUGCUCUAUUUGGUGGGUAUGCGGAUGGGUGGCACGGAGUGAAGUUAUCGGGGCAUUACCUGGUCGAGUGCCUUAUUCAGGAGUUCCACAGACAGGAGGACACCCUUGUUCUCCUCCUCCAAGGCACAUUCGGUCAGGCCUUGAGAGCUGACCACACCAGGAAGGUGGCGCGGAAAGUGGUUCUUGCCUCAGGCACCAUGUCAUCAUAUGCUGUAAUGAAUGAAAAUUGGAUGAUCCUGUCCUGGGUCAUGCUUCAGACAGAGGGGGACAGAUCCUUGGAACACAUGUACGAGGGGCUGUCCUGCCGGUACACCUCUGCAGACAUCCCCAAAGCCAAAUACCAAUGGGUUGACAGGUAAAAACUAAUCACCACCUUCCCCUUUUCACUUAUUUAUUGUUACUGCAACUUGAAUAAAGCAAAGUGCAUCUUCAACAUUAUUCUCUCUGUGUGUGCAGGGACUGCUGUGCAGCCUUCAGGGUCGCAAAGUCUGGUCCCCAGGAGCACCUCCUCUGGGACUGCUGGAGAACCACUGAUGAUUUAGUGGCUGAGGCAACUUCAGGGCCCCUCAACAACACCUGUGCAUCCCGCAGCAAGUUCAACAGCGACAUUGACAUCAAGCUGGACCUGUUUCAUUGCAUGCGCCGCCUCUCCAGAGAGUGUGUGUCAGAGCACCAUCCUCUGCACAGCUCCUUUUGCAAGUUUCUUUCUGCAGCUUUCACUAUCAUGGACCAGACAGACCUAGAGAAACUUAAACAGGCAUACGUUUUUUGUGGUAUUGUGCCUGCUAAUCCCACCAAACAGCACACCAAAGAGCAUUGUCGCACCAGGAUACCUGGUCCCCAAGAGCUGCUGGAGAGGGUUGAGCGCGUUUUGCAGCGAUUCCAUUUGGAGUCUGAUCCCGAUGGUAUCCCGCUGUUUAAGCCGUCAAUGUUGACGGUGUGGAGGAUUCAGCGUUUUCACAUACACAGAGGCUGCUUGAGUGACCCAGAGGUUGCAGAGGGAAUCCUUUACAGAUAUGGCGGAACAGUGCAGCUCAACCAUGUCAAGGGAGAGGGAGCUACUGUGCCCCUGUGGAUCCCUGUGAGAGGUACAUCACAGCAGGAGGGGUUCCAUUUCCAUCAAGCAAAAUGGGUGACGGGUAACAAGGUCUCCACAGAACUCUUCCAAGCUCAGGGCAUGAUUGGUGUGGCUCGGUGGAAUUUCAAGCGCCUUGUGGACCUGAAGUUGCCUGAUGUGAAGCUGCCUGCAGUCUUUGAUCCAGUACUGAUGAUGGAGCUGAAUAAGCUCUCUGAAGUGCUGACAGGUCAUGCCAAGUACCCUGCCUUGCGUGUUUCACACACUGACACAGGAGAAAGGUUUGGACUCCAGUAUCUAGAACCUGGCUGUCGUCCUGUCCCGCUGGACUGCAGCAAGCACAAGACCCAGAAGGUUCCUGUUGCAGGAGAGAGAGAGCACCACUCCUCAGAACCGUCUCUUCUCAGUGAGACAUUCACUGAAGACCCAUCUGAGGAGACGAGGGAGGAAGUAAUAAUGUGUAUAUUAUUUUGACUAAUGUAAAUUGUUGAUUACCCUAUGUUUCAGGAUGACCUCUUUGGUGUGGCUUUCCUUGGCUCACAUGCAGUGGCCCAACCCUCACAGCCAUUCAAAGUUCAAGGUAAUUCCAUUGAAUUAUUUCCCCUUAAAAAUACUUUAUUUAUUUGAUGUACAGUAAACUUGGUAAAAUGGAAAUGACACUCUCACUAUCUAUCUCUCUCUUUCAGUUCUCCCAGUCCCAGUGACGCCACCGAUGCCCAUGUCUGCCUCUCUACGUGCUGCACGCACAGUUCUAUGUAAUUCAAUUGAAUUCUUUCCCCCCUUACAAAUGCUUUAUUUAUUUGAUGUACAGUCAACUUGGUAAAAUGGAAAUGACUCACUCUCUCUCUCUCUCUCUCUCUCUCUCUCUCUCUCUCUCUCUCUCUCUCUCUCUCUCUCUCUCUCUCUCUCUCUCUCUCUCUCAGUCCCAGUCCCAGUCCCAGUGACGCCACCGAUGCCCAUGUCUGCCUCUCCACGUGCUGCACGCACAGGUCCAGUCAAGGCAGGCGGCCUACUUUUUGUCCUGGACCAUUCCCGGUGGACACAGCCAAUGAGGGAUGCCAUCGAUGGCCUUCUGGCAAAGCACCAUGGCCAGAAAGACCUCCUCACCAAGGUGGAUGCAGAGUAUGCUGCCCUUGUGCUUGCUGCCUCCAGAGAUCCGAACAACUUGUUACAUCCGACCACCAAACAGCACAUCUCACGGUAUGUGAAACACCAGGCCAAACUGAUGAACAGAAGUUCGUGUCUGAAUACCAGUCCAGAGAAACUCCUUGAGACACAAGAGCUGUGGCAUCAUCUCACAGAGGGUAGUGAAACUGUUUGCGUCCCGGUGGUAACCCUCCCACCUGCACCUGUGAAUCCGCCCAGCAGUAAGUCGCAAGAGCCCUCUCUCACAAAGGCUGAAAUUGAAAACCUGGUCAAAGAGCUUGUGCAAAAGCAGCAGCAGCAGCAGCAGCAACAACAACAGCAGCCUGUGCCAAAAAAAAUUAGGAACUGUCUUGCAUGUGGCCAGCCUAAGUCCCGUUACCUUGGCGAUGGCUCCUCCAUUCACUUCUUUUACCAGGCAGGAAAGGUUAAGUACUUUUACUGCUCUACAAAGAUGCAUCGGACCUAUGUAGCAGAAGGCCUUACUGAUCCCCGCAUGGAAUUUCUUGACUUUGCUGCCACACCUUUUUUCAAGAGAGAGCUGGAGGCAGCAAAGCAGCGGUCUGCUGAGUCCAGGCAGGUAACAGAAGAGCGGGGAAAGAGAAAGGCCAUGGAGCAGCUUCCCACUGGUCGCCUGUCUAGGUUCUGCCACAAACCUAUAAAACAAGGCCCAGGCGGUCGGCAUACACACACUGGGUUCCCUGGUGUGACCGGGAAAUACGUGUACUGUCCUUCAAAAGUUUUUCACCUGUAUCAGUCAGAGGGGAUGACUUCGGAGAUGUCUUGGGAGGAGUUCUGUCAGUCUCCCUUUUAUGAGACUGAAAAGAAGAGGUGGGUGGCAGAAAAGGGAAGGUGAUCGGCCCGUUUGGAACACUUUUAGUUAUUCAAUUUGGUUAAUCUUUUAUUUAUUUUUUUAUUUGGUUCUGGGUAUUUUCUGAUCAGAUGCUGGAAAUGCACUACUUUAAAGGUCUACCUUAAUUUACUUAGUUAAUUUCUGUCAUUUUUGUUAAUCAUUUAUUUCAUUUUAUCUUAGCUAUUUAAAUUACGCUGUUUACUUGUGUGUGUGUGUGUGUGUGUGUGUGUGUGUGUGUGUGUGUGUGUGUGUGUGUGUGUGUGUGUGUGUGUGUGUGUGAUAUGUGCUAUGUGCUUAUUUUGAAAUAAAACAAGUUUAAUACAACCCUUGAAACUUGACUCUUGGUGUAUU
rnacentral:lncRNA from 1 species